rnacentral:rRNA from 1 species
AUUGAACGCUGGCGGCAGGCCUAACACAUGCAAGUCGAGCGGAUGAAGCGAGCUUGCUCCUGGAUUCAGCGGCGGACGGGUGAGUAAUGCCUAGGAAUCUGCCUGGUAGUGGGGGAUAACGUCCGGAAACGGGCGCUAAUACCGCAUACGUCCUGAGGGAGAAAGUGGGGGGUCUUCGGACCUCUCGCUAUCAGAUGAGCCUAGGUCGGAGUAGCUAGUUGGUGGGGUAAAGACCUACCAAGGCGACGAUCCGUAACUGGUCUGAGAGGAUGAUCAGUCACACUGGAACUGAGACACGGACCAGACGCCUACGGGAGGCAGCAGUGGGGAAUAUUGGACAAUGGGCGAAAGCCCGAUCCAGCCAUGCCGCGUGUGUGAAGAAGGUCUUCGGAUUGUAAAGCACUUUAAGUUGGGAGGAAGGGCAGUAAGUUAAUACCUUGCUGUUUUGACGUUACCAGCAGAAUAAGCACCGGCUAACUUCGUG